CGGUAAUAGCUCAAAUUUGAAAUCUGGCCUCUCGGGGUCCGAGUUGUAAUUUGUAGAGGAUGUUUUGGGUACCGCCCCGGUCUAAAUUUCUUGGAACAGAAUGUCAAAGAGGGUGAGAAUCCCGUCUUUGACACGG
rnacentral:rRNA from 1 species